UACGGAGGGAGCUAGCGUUGUUCGGAAUUACUGGGCGUAAAGCGCACGUAGGCGGCUUUGUAAGUUAGAGGUGAAAGCCCGGGGCUCAACCCCGGAAUUGCCUUUAAGACUGCAUCGCUUGAAUCCGGGAGAGGUGAGUGGAAUUCCGAGUGUAGAGGUGGAAUUCGUAGAUAUUCGCAAGAACACCAGUGGCGAAGGCGGCUCACUGGCCCGAUACUGAAGCUGAGGUGCGAAAGCGUGGGGAGCAAACAGG
rnacentral:rRNA from 1 species